AGUGAACGCUGGCGGUAGGCCUAACACAUGCAAGUCGAACGGCAGCACAGUAAGAGCUUGCUCUUACGGGUGGCGAGUGGCGGACGGGUGAGGAAUACAUCGGAAUCUACUUUUUCGUGGGGGAUCACGUAGGGAAACUUACGCUAAUACCGCAUACGACCUACGGUUGAAAGCAGGGGAUCUUCGCACCUUGCGCGAUUGAAUGAGCCGAUGUUGGAUUAGCUCGUUGGCGGGGUAAAUGCCCACCAAGACGACGAUCCGUAGCUGGUCUGAGAGGAUGAUCAGCCACACUGGAACUGAGACAGGGUCCAGACUCCUACGGGAGGCAGCAGUGGGGAAUAUUGGACAAUGGGCGCAAGCAUGAUCCAGCCAUACCGCGUGGGUGAAGAAGGCCUUCGGGUUGUAAAGCCCUUUUGUUGGGAAAGAAAAGCAGCAGGUUAAUACCCCGCUGUUCUGACGGUACCCAAAGAAUAAGCACCGGCUAACUUCGUG
rnacentral:rRNA from 1 species